rnacentral:tRNA from 1 species
GUUUUCAUGGUGUAGUUGGUUAUCACAUCUGCUUAUCACGCAGAAGGCCUCCAGUUCAAGUCUGGAUGAAAACA